CUCGCGCGAGGACUUCACCGCGAGGAGCGAGGCGGCGGAGAACGCGAAGAAGGCCAG
rnacentral:ribozyme from 1 species